UCAGCCUCAGCAAUGUCUAAUCACGGCUUCUGAAUAACCAGCCGUGAGAGGAGCAAGGCUUCCUAAGCACCGACAUUAAACAGCUCUCUGUGUCAAAUCACAGCUUCCAAAGUCCCCCACCAUCAGACCACAUCAUCUACCAAAGAUGAAGUCAGAUUCUACAGAAGACUGUGGGUGACAAACAGGGCCACGAGCAGGAACAGAUGGGGGGACGUGGUUUGGUUUGAGAUCAUCAAAUUUCUAGGGGGAUUUUCAGUGACAGGUUGAGACAGUUGCGAUUUAAGGCUCUCUGCAUGACAUAUUUUACUUCCAAACGAUGAAAAAAAAUCAAAUGACCUCAGUAUUUCAAGAAACUGUGACAAGAAUGAGGGGGAACCACAUGGUUCCCUCUGCAAUGUCCCCGAUCCCCUGACAGCUGGACGAGGCCAACACUGCUCAGAAUUCAGAACGCAAAGACCCCUCUGCAGCCCCAGCCUCCCCAAGCCUCACACAGGCUCCCUGAAGCGGAGAGCCCCAACGAUCACGGCCAAACAACCAGGACCCCUCCUGGAGAGAGGCUGCCUCAUCCUAGGAGCUCAGUCUUUGGAAAUCAUCCCGUGGAAAUGACAGACGCUCAGCAGUAACACCCUCCAAAGCAAUAUGUUCCACGCAGGAAAUGCCGUCUUCAACUUACCCACCCUCUCUCAAGCUUAAAUUCAGCUUAAUUUUUAGGAUGUCUCGCUUGUCAUCAAGACGAAGAUCCAAGCGAUCUGCUGGGUUGGAGCCGGGAGCCGAGUAAUGGAAAGACGUGAUUUAUGUAUUCGGCAGCUCUUGGUGGGCAGCGGCUGACUUGGUCAUGUCUGAGUCUGCCAGCACUCACUCGGCCCAGCCUCGGGCCUGGCGCGGGCACUCAGCAACCCGAUUGAAGCCGCCUUGGUGUUUUCUUGGAGUGAUGGAGAGAAAGGAAGCUGUCCAGAGCCCCAAGGAUACACACAUGCUCCCAUGCUCUGAGUGUGCAUGUGUGUCUACACUGCCCCUCUUCCUUAACCUUCCUUCUCCCACUGACUGUCGGGGAAAAGUCAGCGCAGCCUGGAUUUCCUGCUGGAACUGCCCCCUACCCCCAUCCCCCCGCAGCAGUCACUGACCACACAUUGUACUUUGGGCUGGGGCCUGCUGGGCCUCCUGGGCGCUGAUCACAGCUCUGUCUGCCUGCUCCCAGAAGCUGUCCUCACCCAGAAAUCUGCCUAGCCACGCUGCUUAUAAGAACUGGCUCAUCUCCAGCCACCCCCUUCCCCUUCCUCAGCCUUCCUGACCCACAAGGAUCUGGAACCAAACACCGCAGAGUGGCUGGCGGUGGCCUCGAAGGGACCUGCCAGCCUCCCCUCGGCCUGUUGGCAGAGAAGCAGCCCCUCACGUCUUUGCUCUGCUGAGCCCCUGGGACAUGGAUGAAUCUGGAGAAUGUCAUCCUCAGCAAACUGACACAAGAACAGAAAAUGAAACACCGCAUAUUCUCACUCAUAGGUGGGUGAUGAAAAAUGAGAACACAUGGACACAGAGAGGGGAGUACUAAACACUGGGGUCUAUUGGGGGGAA